rnacentral:rRNA from 1 species
GGUGAAAAGCACCCCGGAAGGGGAGUGAAAUAGAACCUGAAACCGUGUGCUUACAAGUAGUCAGAGCCCGUUAAUGGGUGAUGGCGUGCCUUUUGUAGAAUGAACCGGCGAGUUACGAUUUGAUGCAAGGUUAAGCAGUAAAUGUGGAGCCGUAGCGAAAGCGAGUCUGAAUAGGGCGUUUAGUAUUUGGUCGUAGACCCGAAACCAGGUGAUCUACCCUUGGUCAGGUUGAAGUUCAGGUAACACUGAAUGGAGGACCGAACCGACUUACGUUGAAAAGUGAGCGGAUGAACUGAGGGUAGCGGAGAAAUUCCAAUCGAACCUGGAGAUAGCUGGUUCUCUCCGAAAUAGCUUUAGGGCUAGCCUCAAGUGAUGAUUAUUGGAGGUAGAGCACUGUUUGGACGAGGGGCCCCUCUCGGGUUACCGAAUUCAGACAAACUCCGAAUGCCAAUUAAUUUAACUUGGGAGUCAGAACAUGGGUGAUAAGGUCCGUGUUCGAAAGGGAAACAGCCCAGACCACCAGCUAAGGUCCCAAAAUAUAUGUUAAGUGGAAAAGGAUGUGGCGUUGCCCAGACAACUAGGAUGUUGGCUUAGAAGCAGCCAUCAUUUAAAGAGUGCGUAAUAGCUCACUAGUCGAGUGACACUGCGCCGAAAAUGUACCGGGGCUAAACAUAUUACCGAAGCUGUGGAUUGUCCUUUGGACAAUGGUAGGAGAGCGUUCUAAGGGCGUUGAAGCAUGAUCGUAAGGACAUGUGGAGCGCUUAGAAGUGAGAAUGCCGGUGUGAGUAGCGAAAGACGGGUGAGAAUCCCGUCCACCGAUUGACUAAGGUUUCCAGAGGAAGGCUCGUCCGCUCUGGGUUAGUCGGGUCCUAAGCUGAGGCCGACAGGCGUAGGCGAUGGAUAACAGGUUGAUAUUCCUGUACCACCUAUAAUCGUUUUAAUCGAUGGGGGGACGCAGUAGGAUAGGCGAAGCGUGCGAUUGGAUUGCACGUCUAAGCAGUAAGGCUGAGUAUUAGGCAAAUCCGGUACUCAUUAAGGCUGAGCUGUGAUGGGGAGAAGACAUUGUGUCUUCGAGUCGUUGAUUUCACACUGCCGAGAAAAGCCUCUAGAUAGAAAAUAGGUGCCCGUACCGCAAACCGACACAGGUAGUCAAGAUGAGAAUUCUAAGGUGAGCGAGCGAACUCUCGUUAAGGAACUCGGCAAAAUGACCCCGUAACUUCGGGAGAAGGGGUGCUCUUUAGGGUUAACGCCCAGAAGAGCCGCAGUGAAUAGGCCCAAGCGACUGUUUAUCAAAAACACAGGUCUCUGCUAAACCGUAAGGUGAUGUAUAGGGGCUGACGCCUGCCCGGUGCUGGAAGGUUAAGAGGAGUGGUUAGCUUCUGCGAAGCUACGAAUCGAAGCCCCAGUAAACGGCGGCCGUAACUAUAACGGUCCUAAGGUAGCGAAAUUCCUUGUCGGGUAAGUUCCGACCCGCACGAAAGGCGUAACGAUUUGGGCACUGUCUCAACGAGAGACUCGGUGAAAUCAUAGUACCUGUGAAGAUGCAGGUUACCCGCGACAGGACGGAAAGACCCCGUGGAGCUUUACUG